rnacentral:rRNA from 1 species
UACAGAGGGGCGAGCGUUGUUCGGAAUUACUGGGCGUAAAGGGCGCGUAGGCGGCCAACUAAGUCAGACGUGAAAUCCCUUGGCUCAACCAAGGAACUGCGUCUGAUACUGGAUGGCUUGAAUCCGGGAGAGGGAUGUGGAAUUCCAGGUGUAGCGGUGAAAUGCGUAGAUAUCUGGAGGAACACCGGUGGCGAAGGCGGCAUCCUGGACCGGCAUUGACGCUGAGGCGCGAAAGCUAGGGGAGCAAAGCGGGG